UACAGAGGGUGCUAGCGUUGUUCGGAAUCAUUGGGCGUAAAGGGCGUGUAGGCGGUUUGUUAAGUCAUGUGUGAAAUCCCUCGGCUCAACCGGGGAACGACGCAUGAAACUGGCAAGCUAGAGUACCAAAGAGGGGGGUGGAAUGCCGCGUGUAGCAGUGAAAUGCGUAGAGAUGCGGCGGAACACCGAUGGCGAAGGCAGCCCCCUGGGCUGAGAUUGACGCUCAGGCACGAAAGCGUGGGGAGCAAACAGG
rnacentral:rRNA from 1 species